CCCUCCUCCACUAACGUCAACCAACCGACAACCAUGAGAUCGACCGUCGUAAGGCUACAGACACUGCCAGCCAUGUCCUGCCUCUUAAACAAAACAAAAAAUUACUGUUUUUAGCAUUUUAACGCACACACAAAGAGCAGACUUGAUGCUCUUUUUUUUCUAGAGAUAUAAGCGUCAUUUUUUAAAUAAUAAGGAUAAACAAUGUCUUCCCGCACGCAGGAGAGGAGGUCUGGCGUUCAGCUGGUGAGCGCGGCGCUGCUGCUGCUCUCGCUCUCCGGUGUUUCAAGCAUGGAUGUGCUCAUUCCAAAUAACAUUAAUGCACUGAAUGGAACAACUAUCAAAAUCCCCUGCACAUUUACUUCCUGCUAUAAGAUGGAUGUUAGCAGGUUUGCCAUGAACUGGACCUACCAAGAAACACUUAAUGAUACAGAAGACAUGUUUAUGACAUUCAAUAAGAAGAGAGGAAUGGUGCCUCUGCUUUCAGACCGGUUUGGAGACAGGGUGAUGUUUGCCGGAAACCUAGAUAAGAACGACCUGUCAAUCACCUUAUCAAAUGUUCAGAUCGAGGAUGAGGGGAUUUACAACUGCUAUGUGAGAAACCCCCCAGACCGCAUCCAGGGACAUGGUGUCAUACAGCUCAUUGUCGUUACUGAACUUCCCCCUCCGAGGGAUUCAACCAUCGCAGUUGCAAUUGGGGCAUCAGUGGGUGGAGCAUUAGCUCUGCUGAUCCUUUCCAUGGUUGUAGUGAAAUGUCUUCGUCGACACAGGAAACAGGAACUGAUUUCAGAGGAGAAGACGGAGGAGGAGGGAAAACUGGAGGCUGAAGGUGUUGCAGAGGAGGGAACCAAACAACCAUAGCUGGGUCAUCUGAUUGAACCAACGGCUUGUGGAGCUCUCACCCCCAACAUCUUGACAUGUGCACCCCCUUCCUGAAGAUCUAUAGUAACUACUGAUUUAAUCAUUGUCCACCGAUACCGUGUGUGUGUGUGUGGGUUGUUGUGUGUGGUUUGUUGUGUGGUGUGUGUGUGUUUGUGUUUGGUGUGUGUGUGUGUGUGUGUGUGGUGUGUGUGGGUGUGUCGUGUGUGUGUGUGUGUGUGUGUGUGUGUGUGCGCGCGCGUGCCAGUGCAGGCAAGUGUGCUUUUUUUGUACAGUAUGUGUGUGUACUGAUGCGUAUUUCUACAGGUCUGUGUGAGAUGUGUCUUUUUCCUCCAAAUAAGCCAGUGGACACUUUUCUGCAACUUAACCAUUAAACACAAAUUACUUCAUUCAGUGGCACUAGAAGUAGCUCACAUAAUAAUAAAUGGCAUUUCAUUGCACACUAUAGGACAGGGUAGGGAUGGGCGGUAUGACCUAAAAUGUAUACCACAGUAUAAUUUUAAUAUAAAACGGUAACAAUAUCACAGCAUCACAAUAUCUAAUUGGAUUGCCUGUAGUUAAAUCUAUUAUUAAUAACGUUACUAGUGGCUGUGGAGGCAGAGCUGCAUACUUGAUGGAAGUUAAAAGGUGCACACUGCAUAGUAAAUGUUGAGUGUAUAUCUAUCAUGUGAUGGUAAAUUGUGCAGUUUGCGCCACUGUUUCACAACAGCUUUUUUUGUGGGGGUGAAAUUUUUUGGUUUAACAUACUAUGAAUCAAGUGUCUUGCGACAUUGCCUUAAAGCAAUGUCUCUCAACUGCCUUUAUAGGCACCAUGUCUUACCAUUGGGGCACAGUUAGUGCAUGUGUAUGUCCUUUCACCACUGGCUUUUCUUAUCUUGAGACAACUGAUUGUCAGUAACUCAACCAAAUGAUGUUUACUGUACAUGUCUCAAUGAUUAGCCAAAAAGCAUUCUGAAACAUUCCUCAUGCCUGUGGAAGGUUUUAUUGCAAAAACUAUUGCCCUGCAUAGUCAACAGAAUCUGUUAUGUACUUUGCUUAAUAGACCUAUUUUCACAGCAGACGUGUUGACUUGUCAUAGAAGGAAAAGCACAGGUGUACUACUAAAAUUAACAAUGGUUCUGUUCUAUUCAAGCCAAGACAGUAGCUAUGUCCGAAAACACUCCCUAUUUACUAUAUAGUGCACUAUAUUUACCCUCCGCCAUUUUCUGAAUUUUGAGUAUGUAAAAAGCAUGCACUAUACAGUGCUCUCAAAAAUUCAAUACCACUAUGGAACAAAAAAGUACUUUUGUUUUGGCUUUUUGAAGUUGUGAAAAUUACAGUCCCAUGAUAUUUAGUGGUAACAUAAAAUUAUCAUGAAGUGUCUGAAAUUUUAUAUUUGGAGUAGUGAAUAAACAAGGGAGCAAUUUCAGACAGAGCCAGUGUGACAAUGAGCCAGCAUGAACAAUACCAGUACCCUGAAACUGAAGCAGCUAAAUGGAAUGUCAGGUGUGGAUUAGUCAGGUGGCCUAAAUUAACAACUGCAUGCAGUGAGUUGAAAUGCUUCUGCAGUACUUACUGGCAGUACUUCCAUUAUAAAUACAAAUACAAACUAAUACAAACAGCAUAGCCAAAUCUUAAUUACUACUAAUAUGUCAAUAGUGGUUAUAUUGCCCACUCGUAUGACAGCUAAGUUUGCCUCCAUCCCGGCCCUAUCUAGUGGAAUGAUAUGCCUGAUUACAGAAGUUUGAGUAGCAUGCAACUAUUUAAGUUGAGUCUGUUAUUUACAGGGUUAAAAGAAGUUUUUAUAGACUGCAGACUUUGCAUUGGGAAAAUUAUCAGUGACAGUGUUGACAUAUCCUCGGACGGAUUCUUUCCUACAGUUCAAAUGAAGUUAGCACUGAAUGAGAAGUAUGUUGUUAGAGAUAUACUAAAGUAAAUUAUUGUUGACAUCAUGACAGCAUUUUUGUCAAAGUCAAAAACAUGUCGAAGACAAUUUAAAGGGAAAAACUCCUAUUACAGCCACAAACACAUAAUUCCUGUUAGAGCCAAACUAUUAUUAAUGUUUAUGGUAGGAAUUAAUAAAGUAUGCCCUAACAGAAGACUACGCACAGACCGGUGACCAAAUGAUCCAAAUUAAAUAUAUGAAGCCUAUGUCCAUAACUGAGAGACAGAGAAGAGAUUACUGACAAAAAACGGGUACAAUUUGUUAUUUUGGCAACUAAAGCAUGUACAUUGUACUAUACUGCCAUGACUGCAUGUCAAACAGUGCAUAUCAGAAAGAAAAAUAUUAUUUAAAAAACAAAAGUAAGUAACUUCCAUAAAACCAGAGCAAUGUGUGCCAAAGCUAUAGCAUGUUUAAGCUUUCACUCUAUCAAUCAGGUGGCACCAUUUGUCAAUACAUACAGUAUAUACAGUAGUAUUUUGCAUGCAUAUUUGAUUCAUAAAGUCUCAUUAAUAUUUGGUUGCACAUCGAUGAGUUUCAUCUGCCUCCUGUAAAAUAUCAACAAAAUAAUUAAAGUUUCAAUAUGUCAUAAUAUAAAGAAAACAAAAAAGCUUCCGCACAAAUUAUCUACGUCUUUUUAUUCUAACUCCAACUGGAGUCAAACUGGAGCCCUAUUUUAUAGAGAUUUAAAAAUAGAAACACUUUAAACUGAGCCGUUGCUCGUCAAUAAAACACAUUUUAGUGUUUAUUUUAAAGCAGAUUAAUAUAAUAAAAUUAUACCGAUUUUAAAACUUACAUCCAAGCUUUGUCUCCAAAGUAAUACGUUUACCUCAACUCUGUUGAUAUUGUUUUGCACAUUGACACAUUUAUACCAAUUCUAAUAUAAUCCUAGUAGAGAGCAUGUGAAUAUAAUGGAAAAAAGGAAAGCAUAUAAAGCACACUUUAAUAAGAUAGUAUAUUGGAAUGUGUGGCUGUGGGGCAUGGUGAUUGUACGGUUAAAUGGGAAAUGUAUUGUGGUGUGGUGAAUUGUUUUAUAAUCUAUUUGAUUGGAGCACCUUAAAUGUUAAAAAUGAAUUAUAUUCUUUUGAAUAGAUCACUAUUUAUUAUUGUCUUCUUUUACAUGUUGCAGCAUGUAAGCUUUGUUUGUCUCUGAAUGUCCUAUGACGUUAUAACUUAAAGGGUGUGAUGACAGGCCAGCGGCCACAGUGAUGCCUCUAUGAUACCUGUAAUGUUUAAGCUGGUUAGCUGGGUCAUCCAAAUAUUGAAGCGUGGUUGGCAUUUCCAAAUCUGGUGGCUUGGCCGGUCCUGGUUUCUGAUAUUGUCUAAAAAAAAAAAACAUUGUACAGGUUUGUGUUCAUGCCUGUUACUUAAUAGGGUAUUUUUAUUUUUAUUAUUUAAAAUUGUAUGAUUAUCGGUGGUGUAUUGAGUGAUCAGUCUGGUAAUUGUUGAGUUAGUUGGCUAGGGGAACACUAUCUGUAAUAGGACACUGAUGUCUGUGUGGGAUCAUGCACGUUUAAGUUGCUGGGUUUGUGUGGUUGACCCACAGACUGAUGACAGGUUAACAUUUGGGGCAAAUUUAAUGCAGUUUUUUUAACCAGGGAGGUUUUGUAUAUACUGUAUUUCUCAAUCACAAACAAUUAAACAAACAAAACAUUAAUACUGUGUAAUGUAUUAGACAGAUUAAACAUUGUGAAUCCAUUACCAUCUCUGGCUAGGAGUUUGGCCUAAACAGUUUCUCUUGUAUCACUUUAAAUGUUAGUGAACACCAAACUAAUGCUUGCACCAUGCUGCUUUUGAACAAGCAGCUGUCAUUACAUUAUGUAUUUUAAAUAAAGAUUAUUUGGGAAAAUGUCA